UUUUUUUAUUGUGGUAAAAUAUACACGACAUGAGCGUGACCACCUUAACCCUCGUGGAGCGUGCCAUGUGCUGGUGGCAAAGACGCCGCGACGUGCAGCGGCGCCACCGUCCGCCUGCAGAGCCCCGUCACCUGGCACAGAGCCGCCCCCAGCCCCGUCUGCCCCCAGCCCCGUCCCCCCGCCCACGUGCUGUAAGUGGAAGCCCGCAGCGCCGGCCCCUGGGCUGCCGUGUCACCCAGCACGACGUCCUCGGGAUGUGCCCGUGCGGCCGCGGGUCCCCGAUGCCCGUCCUCCAGGCUGAGCAGUAGCCCCUCGUAGGCCGAGAUCACACUCACCCCCCCGGCGGACCCCUGGGUGGCUCCUGUGAUUCAGCCACGGUGGAGGACGUGGCCGUCAACCUGGAAGUGCGUCUUCAGGACUUUGCUUUCCACUCUCUCGGGCACAGAACCACAGUGGAGGGAACCCCUGGGGGGCCCAGCGGUUGAGCGUCUGCCUUCCGCCCAGGGCGAGGUCCUGGGGUCCCGGGAUCGAGUCCUGCAUUGGGCUCCCCACAGGGAGCCUGCUUCUUCCUCUGCCUGUGUCUCUGCCUCUCUGUGUUGCUCAUGAAUAAAUAAAUAAAAUCUUAAAAAAAAAAAAAGCCCACAGUGGAAUUACUGGCUCAUCGGGUAAUUCUAUUUGUAAUGUUGUGCGGAACUGCCACCCCGUUUCCCACAGCAGCUGCGCCCUUUGAGGUUCCAGCAGCGCUGCACAGGGUUCCAAUGCAUCCACACUCCCGCCAGCUCCUGGGUUUGCUUGUUUUCCACACUUGCCAUCCUCGUGGGUGUCAGGUGGGAUCUCACUGUAGCUUUGAUUUGCAUUUCCCACGUGGUUAGCGAUGCCAAGCAUCUUUUCAGGGGCUUGUGGGCCCUGUGUGCAUCUUCUGUGCAGAAAUGCCUGCUGGAGCCUUCGGCCUCUUCUUGGAUCAGGUUCGUUUCUGUUUAGUUUUAGAGUUUCUCUGCCUAUCCUCGAGGUCAGUCCCCUACCAGACGUCAAAGGUGUAUUUUCUCCCAUUCUAUGGGUUGCAUUUUUUUACCCGAUGAUAGCGUCUGAUGCACCAACAUUAAGUUUCCGCCUGUGCCUUCGGUGUCCUACCCCAGAAAUCACUGCCAAGUCCAACGUUGCUAAGCUUGUGCCCUGCACUUUCUUCUAAGAGUUUUACGGUUUUAGGCCUUUGACCCACGUGGAGUUAAUGUCGUAGGAGGUGUGAGGUCGGGGUCUGGGUCCCCCAGCACUAUCUGUUGAAGACACUGUCCUUUCCCCCUCCAAUGUUGUUGACAUCCCCGUCAUCUCACAGUAUAGGAACUCCGUCAAGUGCACACAGGGUAAGCUUCACCACAAACAAGGGCCAAUCCCACUUCCUCCAUUUACCUGCGUGAAACCGGGGGCAAGCUCACCUUCCUGCACCCCCUUUUCCUCCUCUGCUGGUUGGACUGGGUGGUAAGCUCCCCAGACAGGAGGUCUGGCUCCGGCAGCGCCGAGGGCCCCGCGGUCCCGGCAUCAGACACGGCAGCUGUGGAGGAGCCUGUGCACCCUGGGGGCUUUGCCGUCUCGUGGACCAGAGCCACCGCAGCAGCUGUCGGAUGGAGGACUGUCUCCGCUCAGCUCAUCCUCCCGGGAAGUAUGUAGCUGCUGGGCACCCAGGACGGCAGCCAGGCAGCAAGGACUUCGAGGCAAACACACAUGGUGUUCCGGGCAUUUCAAUGCUUUCAGCAAUUGGCUCUGAUCCCCGGGAGAGGAGAGAGAUGGUCGCUCAGGGCUCCCCACUGCUCGGAGAACACGGGCCCCUUCACCCAUCCCGUGUGCCUGCCCAAUGGUGUCACAAGUGUUCCUGAGCCCCCUGUCCACCAUGACCAGCAGUUUUCUGGGACAAUCCAUUAACUGGGCCAAUCCUACAGAGCCCGGGGACUCAUCUGUAGCCGAUCUGCAACCCUUUUCAGAGAGGCCAGAACAGCUGAGACAGUGAAAAAUUGUUCAGUGCAAAGCAAAUGUCAGCUACAACUCAUUUUCAAAGAGAUGUGUAUUUGGAGCUAGGGUUUAACAUUUACCUUCAGAGAGCCGCACCAGUCCCCCCCAAACAAUCUAAGAGUGGUUGAUUCUGUUUAUACAGAUGGGCGCUGCCAGUUAUUACAUAUUAUAAAAAUAAAUGCAUCUCACUAGCGCAUGUUCUUGCCUGACAUUUCCACGCGGCACCGACAGGAUAAACAGUGCUGAGGACCGGCCGCACACACGCUCGGCAGGAAGGGGGGCCGGUGUCUGAGCCGCUGCCCGCUGCGGGGACGCCGUGGCCCUCUACCAGCGGUGUGACCCAGGACCGUCUGGUUCCCAAAGCGGCAAAGGAACGGUACAACCACGCAAGGACGGACCGUCCAGGAAACUCAGCAAGACAUCAAAAAUGCUCUUUUCACUUUGCAAAACCCUCACGCCGAGAAUGCAGAGGCCAGCGAGUCCCUGAGUAGCGCCCUCUGAUCGGGGACGCCGCGCUUCGCACCCACAGCGGACCCGGAAAGUCCUCUGGAAGACGUCGGAAGGUCUGGACGUUGCGCCCGGAGAAACCAGGCCAGGCGGGAGGUCGGUGCUGACUCUGCCCCGGGCCCACCACCUCCCUGGCCCCUCCGUGCUCCGUGGACGCUGGCGACUGGUACAGCCAGGAAGUCACCAUCUCCCAGUGUCUCUCAUUCUGGUCUGACUGCCUGACCCCCAGGGACCCACCAGGACGCAGCAAGCAGAUGGCAUGUCCUCCACAGCCACCGCGAACGCCUUCCACGGAGGGGGGCUCCACGCUCAGACACGAGGCCGCCAGGGCCGCCCCUGACCCCUCGGCUGCCGCGCCUGCUGGGUCUGACAUCGGGCCCCACACCGGGCCCCACACCAGAUGUGCAUCUGGCAGCUCCUGGGCCGGCCCUCCCACAAGCACGGGCAUCGUGAGCCUCGCGGGUGGGGUCUGAAGGGGAUGUGGCGGCCGAGAACACGGGAGCCCUGGGAGCUGCUCCUCAGGGGCGCCCUGCCUGCGGCCACUCGGGCUGCCACCUCGUUGGGAGGGCUGUGCCAACACUCCCACGUGGCCGCCACCUUCCCAAGGCACCGUGUCUGCGAGGAGGGGCCCUCUGGACCCUGCGGAGACGCAAGUGCUUUGGCUGGUUAUGGAUUCGGUGGCAGCGUCGUGUGACAAAAUG
rnacentral:lncRNA from 1 species